rnacentral:lncRNA from 1 species
GUUACAUAACCUGAUCGAUUCAGUUCUCUCCUACCACAUAUGUCCCAGGGAAGGAACUAAGAGCAUCAGCUUUAGCGGCAGGCAUCUAUACAUGAUGAUCCAUCUUGCCAGCCCCGUUAUUUUGUUUUGUUUUAUGGGUCAGGACUCCACAUUGUAGCCUUGGCUGGCGUCACAACCAUCUGAGUCCUGGGAUUACUGGUCUGCACAGCCAUUUUGGGCUUUUUAUCUGUCCCCCACAGCCAAUGAAGACCUGCCUGACACCAAUCCCUGGACACCCUGGAAAGAAAAUGGGCCACAUCUCCUCGACUACACUGGAUCCAACUUGCUCCAUUUCAACUGACACUCCGGCCAGAGGUUCGCGUACUGACUUCAAUCAAGUUGAGGAUUUCAAGCGAGACCUUCAAUCAAGUGAAUCCCAUCUAACAUGGACUGGAUACUAACAUUUUCUUUCUACAGUGGGGCCUUCAGGAGAUAACUAAAGGUCAUGAGGUCACCACUCCUAAUUGUGGGACUCUCAACCCUAAUCUUGGCUCACAUGGAACUCACUAUGAAAGCCCAGGCUGACCUAGAAUUUGUAAAAAUCUGCUUGCUUCAACCUUCCAAGUGCAAGAAUACAGGUGCGUUCAAAUGCAUGUGGGUGCCCUCAGGAGCCAGAAGAAGGUAUCCAAUAUCCUGGACUUGGAGUCUCAGGCAGUUGUAAGCCACUCAACAUAGAUGCUGGUUGCUGAACUCAGAGUCUCCGGAAGAGUAAUGAAUGCUCUUAACUGCUGGGCCAUCUCUUCAGCCCUAUGCCAUUUUAAAAUUUAAGACAGGCUGGCUUCAAGUUUUCCAUGUUGCCAAAGGUAAUCUUGAACUUCUUAUCCUGAAAAGCACCUUCACAGUGUUGGAAUUACUGACUUGUGCUGUUGUGUUGACAGGAUGCUGGGCAUCCAUGCUGGUCUGGCAGGCUAAACUCUACCAGCUGAGCUACAUCCCCAGCCCUUAUUUAUGAUUUAAAUACUAUUGACUUUCCUUUUCUAGACAAUAAUGUGAUGGGUGAUGUCUUUUUGUAUAUAUGUUUCUCUUAUUGGUUGAUGAAUAAAACACUGAUAGGCCAGUAGCCAGGCAGGAAGUAUAGAUGGGGCUACCAGAGUAGGAGAGGAUGCAGGGAGAAGCCACCAGGAAGAUUCCAUGUAGCUGACAAAGGAGUAACAUGCUGGAAUAUUCUCCAGUAAGCCAAAACCACAAAACACAGGUUGACAGAAAUGGGUUAAUAAUUAAGAGAGAGCUAGCCAAUAAGAAGC